rnacentral:rRNA from 1 species
CACGUAGGGCGCAAGCGUUGUCCGGAAUCAUUGGGCGUAAAGAGCUCGUAGGCGGUUUGUCACGUCUGCUGUGAAAACUCGGGGCUUAACCCCGAGCUUGCAGUGGAUACGGGCAGACUAGGGGUAGGUAGAGGACUAUGGAAUUCCGCGUGUAGCGGUGGAAUGCGUAGAUAUGCGGAAGAACACCGGUGGCGAAGGCGGUAGUCUGGGCCAUUACUGACGCUGAGGCGCGAAAGCCAGGGGAGCAAACGGG